GACGAACGCUGGCGGCGUGCUUAACACAUGCAAGUCGAACGGAAAGGCCCCCACCUUGGUGGGGGUGCUCGAGUGGCGAACGGGUGAGUAACACGUGGGUGAUCUGCCCUGUACUUCGGGAUAAGCUUGGGAAACUGGGUCUAAUACCGGAUAGGACCAUGGUUUAGUGUCUCAUGGUGGAAAAAUUAUUGUUUUGGUGCAGGAUGAGCUCGCGGCCUAUCAGCUUGUUGGUGGGGUAAUGGCCUACCAAGGCGUCGACGGGUAGCCGGCCUGAGAGGGUGGACGGCCACAUUGGGACGGAGAUACCGCCCAGACACCUACGGGGGGCAGCAGUGCGGAAUGUUGCACAAUGGGCGCAAGACUGAUGCAGCGACGCCGCGUGGGGGAUGACGGCCGUCGGGUAGGAAACUCCUUUCGUUAGGGACGAAGCCACACGUUUCUGGGGUGUGGUGACGGUACCUUUGUCAAGAAGCACCGGCUAACUACGUG
rnacentral:rRNA from 1 species